GAAGACUCCAGUUCCCAUGAGUCUCUGGGAGGAGGGGGAGAAGAAGACACCAAUUCCCAUGAGUCCCUCAGCAAAAGAGACUCCAAUUCCCAUCAAGCCUCUGGGAAACGAAAACUCAAUUCCCCCCAGCUCUAGGCAGCCAACUCCCAUGGCAAUUUUAGGAGUAUCAGUACUCUGACUCCUAGUUAUUUCAGGAGAUAACGACAACUCUGUUAGCACCUGGAGGAUAGAAACACCUCAAUUCUCACAGGACGCUGGGACAUAAAGACACCCCCGUCCUCCACUCCCAUCAGCUUCUGGAAAGCCGAGCCUCUCAUUUCUGUAAGCCUCUGGGAGGUAGAAACUCGAAUUCUCAUUAAUUCCUGGUAAAUAACGACUGCAGUGUGCACCAAUCUAAGUCAACGACCAUAAGACAUCGUGCAGCUUGAGGACAUGUGGGUGUUCAAUAAGCUUCAGGAUGGCGAUCUCCCGCUCCACCUGGGGGGAGCACGGGACAUGGGAAUGGAGGUCAGCAUGGCCCCCAUCCCUCCCCUCAGCCCCAAAGGGAUCUCCUCCUCCAGUGCACACACACCUUCAUCAGCACUGACUCCGACAGCUUCUCCCGGUUCACGAUCUUGAUGGCGACCUUCUGGCCCGUGAUGCAGUGCACCCCGAGUUUAACCAGCCCUGGGGAAGCAGGACUGAAACUGGGGGGGGUGGUCCCAGAGCCCUCGCCCAGCCUCUGGCUCCUGAGUCUCCAUUAUGACCCCCUUUCCUCCUCCUUUCCCUGCUGGCCUGAAUCACCCUGACCUGGGCUCCCAGGGCUCUGACAGCUACCAUUCCCACAAAACACAUUCUCUUCUUGCUGUUGCCUGUA